rnacentral:sRNA from 1 species
CUCACCGGAGGCUGUGUAGCAUCUUCCUGAACUUGAGUUAUUCUGGGAAACUUGAUGGCUGCCACUUGCUGAAGGACGAGAUGAUGCCUAUUGGCCGGAAGGAAAGCGUGUGGCGAUGGAGGACCGAUAUCGUGCAGACUUUCCCCGGCCAGACCACCGCUUUCACGACUUCGAUCAUCGAGACCGGGGCCAGUACCAGGACCACGCCAUCGACAGGCGGGAGGGUUCGAGGCCAAUGAUGGGAGACCACCGGGAUGGGCAGCACUAUGGAGAUGACCGCCAUGGCCACGGAGGACCCCCAGAGCGCCACGGCCGGGACUCCCGUGAUGGCUGGGGGGGCUACGGCUCCGACAAGAGGCUGAGUGAAGGCCGGGGGCUGCCCCCUCCCCCCAGGGGUGGCCGUGACUGGGGAGAGCACAACCAGCGGCUAGAGGAGCACCAGGCACGCGCCUGGCAGGGUGCCAUGGAUGCAGGCACAGCUAGCCGGGAGCACGCCAGGUGGCAAG